CUUUCUCUCGUGAUACGUUCCUCUCUCUCAAAUCCAAAGAAAUCAUUGAACAAAUCCAUAGAAAUUAUUGCAAGGCCAUACUUUCUUACGGUCCUAAUUCUCAAGGUGGUCGUCGUGUGGGAGGUUUCUCCUCCGGUCGCGGUGGUGCUCAUCAUGGUGGAGGGCGCGGCGGCGGUGGUAAUCGUGGCGGUGGUGGUGGCGGUUGUGGGGAACAGCGAUGGUGGUAUCCGCGAUUUUGUAUCUCAAGCAACAUUCUUGAAAGAUUUCGUCUCUUGUCCUUGAGGAGGAUGAAGAAAUAGAUUGAAGAGCAACAUAGGAAAGCAUUAGAGGAGUAUCCAUCUGAUUUUGCAUAAGAGGAGGUUAGUAUAGACUACUGAUUGGUGAUUGCUUUGAAAGAUGUCUUCAACAGAGUAAAGAGGCUGGUAGGUAAACAGCUCUAUCGUCAGAGAUGGAGGCUAUUUCCAUCAAUGCACUCAGGCUUCUUCUUUGGCCUCUGGAUUACAGUAAGUUUCUUUUCUCUAUAUCUCAUCUGUACUUUUCUUGUCUAGGAUCCGAAAAAUGAAUUAAGUCAAUGUUGGAGCUAUAAGUUUAGUUGAACUCUUGUCUAGUUUCUUCCGCAUGUUUCUGGAGUUUAGAUGAACUCUCUGCAGCCAAACUGUUUGCGUCCAUGUCCUCUCCUGAGUCAAUCUUGCUAGGCUCAUCUAAGACCCAAUCCUUUAAUUGUGCCUGCACUUGUUCCAUGAGGUUAAAACAUGGAGAACUAUUGCCCAUGCUUGUAGUUGUUGGUGUUUCUUAAAUGAUGGAUUUAAUACAGUGGAAAAUGAGUUAAGUGUUGUUUGUUGUUGUC